rnacentral:lncRNA from 1 species
GACAAUUACUCACCGCUUUCUUACUAACAUGAUAACAAAAAAGUACUCAAAUUGUCAAUUGAUAAGGUUAAGGAGGGAGAUACAACUUUGUCCUACAUCACUUUACCAAUUUUAAAUAAAAGAAGAUGCAGUACGACAACCGCUCACCGCUUUUUAUUAAAUAGGAUAAUGAGAUAAGGACUUGAUAUAUAUUGUCUUAUCCUUAUCAGAGAGAAAGAAGAGGCAGUACGACAACC